rnacentral:rRNA from 1 species
UACGAAGGGGGCUAGCGUUGUUCGGAAUUACUGGGCGUAAAGGGCGCGUAGGCGGCGUGUCAAGUCAGGCGUGAAAGCCCCGGGCUCAACCUGGGAACCGCGCUUGAGACUGGCAUGCUCGAGUUCGGGAGAGGAUGGUGGAAUUCCCAGUGUAGAGGUGAAAUUCGUAGAUAUUGGGAAGAACACCGGUGGCGAAGGCGGCAUCCUGGACCAACACUGACGCUGAGGAGCGAAAGCCAGGGGAGCAAACGGG